rnacentral:rRNA from 1 species
AACGCGUAUGCAACUUGCCUAUCAGAGGGGGAUAACCCGGCGAAAGUCGGACUAAUACCGCAUGAAGCAGGGAUCCCGCAUGGGAAUAUUUGCUAAAGAUUCAUCGCUGAUAGAUAGGCAUGCGUUCCAUUAGGCAGUUGGCGGGGUAACGGCCCACCAAACCGACGAUGGAUAGGGGUUCUGAGAGGAAGGUCCCCCACAUUGGUACUGAGACACGGACCAAACUCCUACGGGAGGCAGCAGUGAGGAAUAUUGGUCAAUGGCCGAGAGGCUGAACCAGCCAAGUCGCGUGAGGGAUGAAGGUUCUAUGGAUCGUAAACCUCUUUUAUAAGGGAAUAAAGUGCGGGACGUGUCCCGUUUUGUAUGUACCUUAUGAAUAAGGAUCGGCUAACUCCGUGCCAGCAGCCGCGGUAAUACGGAGGAUCCGAGCGUUAUCCGGAUUUAUUGGGUUUAAAGGGUGCGUAGGCGGCCUUUUAAGUCAGCGGUGAAAGUCUGUGGCUCAACCAUAGAAUUGCCGUUGAAACUGGGGGGCUUGAGUAUGUUUGAGGCAGGCGGAAUGCGUGGUGUAGCGGUGAAAUGCUUAGAUAUCACGCAGAACCCCGAUUGCGAAGGCAGCCUGCCAAGCCAUGACUGACGCUGAUGCACGAAAGCGUGGGGAUCAAACAGGAUUAGAUACCCUGGUAGUCCACGCAGUAAACGAUGAUCACUAGCUGUUUGCGAUAC